CCAACGCGGUCCCUCGACUCACUCGGACGAACGCUUCAACAAACUCACCUCACUGUCAUGUGUCUCUUCAUUUCCCAGUAUCUACAUCUCCGUUAACUGAUUCACACUCUUUCCAGCUCCCUCUCUGAACAAGUUUGCAGGUUUGGAAGGAAUAAUCUCGUUUCUAUAUAGAAUAUGAGAUAUAUACCAUGUCAAUCAAAUUGUCAUAAAUUUUGAAAUAGCAACAUUAUUGUUUGUAUCAAGUAUGCCUAGGGAUUGAGAAUUUUAAGAAGCAUUUUUUGCAUUGUGGAGAUUUAUCUCGAAGCAAAUGAUGGGUAUUACACAUUGUUUCUGGUGAAAAGCUGAUAAAAUCUUAAGUUUCAUACUCCGGAGUAAAAUAAUACCAUGGUGCUUCUGUUUUGAUGGUUGAGAUGAGAUAACAUUUUUCCUUGUGGUUUGUUUCAUUGUUUACCAGCUUGUUCUCAGGGGCAGUUAACAGUCAGUUGAUAAAUUUUACUAGCAAAGUCCAAAAUAACUUUUUUGAACUUUUGUUUCAAUCUGGACAAUUAAAAAUUUCCUCUCAUCGUUGUUCUAGAUGUUCCAUGGGGAUGGGUUUACAUAGUAUGAUCAAUGAUCAUCAAAAUAUGUGUGAACUCAUAUGCAUAACUUGUCCGCUGUGUAAAGCAGAAUGCACCCGAAUGAUAAUAGUCACUCUUUCUAAACCAAAGGGAUCAGAGUAUUGUUUAACACUUUAGGGAUCCCAAGUUGUUCUGAUUUUAGCUUUCAUGUUGAGUAGUUGGAAAGGUGCUUGCUUUGAUUUGUUCUAUGACUGUAAGUUAUGAUUUCCUGUUGCACAUAUUUUGUGGACAAUUUACACUUUGAUGCCGACCAAAUUUGUUGAAGGAAGCAAAAGGGCAAGUAAAUUAAUUUGUUUGACAUUUACUUGUAAGGUCUUUUGUACAAGCUGCCUGGACCAGGAGAUCUCGUGGUGAAGCUGCAAAGCAACCCAAUAGGAAAACCAUAGAAACAAGGAAAUUUAUUUUUUCCAAGCCUGAAAAAUGUAUUGGCCUUUCAAUUUAAAUUUCUUUUUCUGAUUUUGUUUUCUCAGAUGGAAGAACUCAAAUGAAACCUCGUUCUUCUUUACUAAAAAAAUGUUGAUAAGAAGAUUAAAAACCCUGCUUCAACCAUUGUCUGAUCCUCACCUCCGUCUCAUAGCCACCGAGUCAACUCAAAAUCAACUCAGCAACCCAUCUAACUGUCUCAAUCCCAUAACUCCAAUCAACCAACCCACUCUUCUGAAAGUCUGUACCAUCCUCUACCAACAGCAAAACUCACCUGACUCACGCCUCCACUCAUCCCUCUCUUCUUACAAUCCUUCUUUCAACCCUGAAUUCUUCCUUCAAGUUUGCAACACUUUCCCAUACUCCUGGCGCCCCAUCUACCGAUUCUUCCUCUACACCCAAAAAGUCCCUCACUUCACUCACAACUCCGUCACCUUCAACAAAAUGUUGGAUGUCGCCGGAAAAUCCAAAAACAUUGACCUUUUCUGGGAAACUUGUCAGGAGAUGGGAAAACUUGGUUUGGUCAAUGAUAAGACCUUUAGGAUAGCUUUAAAGACCCUAGCAUUAGCUAGGGAGUUGAAGAAAUGUGUGGGUUUUUUCCAUUUGAUGAAUGUGUUUGGGGUUGGAUACAAGUUGGAGACUUUAAAUACAGUGGUGGAAAGUUUAUGCAAGGAUAAGCUUGUGGAAGAGGCAAAGUUUGUUACUUUCAAGUUGAAAGAGUGCGUUGAGCCAAAUGGGGUUACUUAUAAGUGGUUGAUAUGGGGGUUUUGUGAUCUGGGUAAUUUGAUUGAGGCCUCAAAAAUUUGGAACCUAAUGGUGGAUGAAGGGUUUGAGCCUGAUGCUGAGGUUGUGGAGACAAUGAUGGAGGCACUUUUUAAGACUAAUAAAUAUGAUGAAGCAAUGAAGGUUUUCCAAAUGAUGAGAGUUAAGAGAAUGCAUGAUUUGGGGCUUUCAAGUUAUAGGCUUGUGAUCAAGUGGAUGUGUAAGAGAGGCAAGAUCGAGCAAGCCAAUGGGAUGUUUGAGGAAAUGUGCCAAAGAGGGAUCCAAGCUGAUAAUUUGACCUUGGCUUCGAUUAUUUACGGGCUUUUAGCAAGAGGGAGGAUUAGAGAGGCUUAUAGGAUUGUGGAAGGAAUUGAGAAUCCGGAUAUCAGCAUUUACCAUGGACUAAUAAAGGGGCUUUUGAGGUUGAGGAAGGCAAGUGAAGCAACACAAGUGUUUAGAGAGAUGAUAACGAGAGGGUGUGAGCCUAUAAUGCAUACAUAUAUCAUGUUACUGCAAGGUCAUUUGGGAAAGAAAGGGAGGAAAGGACAUGAUCCAUUGGUGAAUUUUGACUCAAUAUUUGUUGGGGGAUUGAUUAAGGCUGGAAAGACAGUAGAGGCUACCAAGUAUGUGGAGAGAACAAUGAAAAGAGGAAUGGAAGUGCCUAGAUUUGAUUACAAUAAAUUUUUACAUUACUACUCAAAUGAGGAAGGUGUAAUGAUGUUUGAGGAGGUUGGCAAGAAAUUAAGGGAAGUGGGGUUAUUUGAUUUGGCUGAUAUAUUGGAGAGAUAUGGCCAGAAAAUGGCCACUAGGGAUAGGAGGAGAGAGAGGGCAGUUGAUCCAUGAGAAAGACCUUGAAAAACUGAAAAAUUGUAGCCUAAAUACAUACCUUUUGGUUGAAGUUGCUAAUUAUAUUGAAACCCAAUUAUGGUACAAGACUACAACAUAUUGUCCUUGUGUAUGUUGGACCUGCAAGAGUUAUCAAACUUUGAAGCGAAGACUUAGUAGAGGUGUAUCACAUUUCCCUUUUGCUAUAUCACUAAGACUAUGCUUUCCAACUUUCGGUGGGGUUCUGGUAUCUCUUUCCAAGCUUUGGCUACAACCCAUCUUGCUCCUUGUUCAGUAGCCAAAUAUCGGACCUCUUGAGGCUCCAGACUCUAUACUGUCGUGGCCAGAAGUCCAACCGCAACCAAACCAAAUGAAAACAUAGCUACAAAACCAGCAACAAACGUCAUGGCCACUAUUGUUGGGGAAGAAUGCUUGGAAAGGCUGCAAGUCGACGGCAAGGGUGGAUGCACCUUUCACUGGCAUGUUAUGCCUUCGGAGGAAGGCCAUGCCACAACAACCGAUAAAAGGAGCCCUGUCAAACACCAUGGUGAUAAAGGAGCCAGUGGUAGAGGAGCAUUUCAUUGCCGAAACGACUACAACCACCAGUCGCUAUAUUUGGUACGAUGAGACCCGGGCUCCAACAAGCUCCAUUCAAGGGAGGUCCAUGGUGAAGGCGGCGCCUAAAAGACAAAGAGUAGGGUAACCAAAUAGAAGGGGGGACACUAGUCCAGGAGCUGUGAGUGGGAGGAGAACCUCUGCAAGAUGGCCGACAAAAAGCUCUCAUAUCGCCGGCAGAAGUAUGACGAACGAGAGGGGGAGGAUGCCGAACAUUAUUUUGCUGGAGGAAAAUAAAGAACAAACAAAAAAAAAUAAAAAGAAGGGAGAGAAGAAGAAGAAGGCUAUAUGACAGGCAGUUGAAGGCCAACCGUGUCGACGAUCACGACAAGAAAAUGGACGCUACUCGAGAGAGAAAAGAAAAAUGAAAGAAAAAGUUUUAAAAAUAGUGUCCAUACAAUCCAUAUUGAAGGCUUUAUUGGAAUGGUUGGUAUGGCUAUGGUUGUGUAGUUAGGGUUUGUGAAAGAGAGAAAAUGUAUUUCCCUUUUAAAGACUCUUAUCAUGCACUUUCAUGCCAUGUUUAUCUUUACAAUUCUACAACAUGAAUGUGUAAUCUCUUAUUGAAAUCAAGCAUUCAAGCUUUCUUUGUAGAGGAAAA